GUGGGCGGGCCCUUGGCCUUUCCCAGCCCUUGGGCCUCCCCCUGCAUUCUAGAAUCCAGAAUUAAUGCUUUGGCUGUGGCUGCGGCGGCUGCCAUCGCUCCUUCUGGCUUCUACCCGUAGCUGCACUCCAGAGCCAGCUGCUCAUCUCACCUGGCCAUGAGCACAUUGCUUCCCAGGACCCUAACCCGGCUCUGAGUCCUGGGACCCUCCAUCCCUUCCCUUGGGCCAUGGCUAACUCAGGCCUCCAACUCCUGGGCUACUUCCUGGCCCUGGGUGGCUGGGUGGGCAUCAUCGCCAGCACAGCCCUACCUCAGUGGAAGCAGUCCUCUUAUGCAGGAGAUGCCAUCAUCACCGCCGUGGGCCUCUACGAAGGACUCUGGAUGUCCUGCGCCUCACAGAGCACUGGUCAGGUGCAGUGCAAGCUCUACGACUCGCUGCUUGCUCUUGAUGGUCAUAUCCAGUCAGCCAGAGCACUGAUGGUGGUGGCCGUGCUCCUGGGCUUUGUGGCCAUGGUCCUUAGUGUUGUAGGCAUGAAGUGCACACGGGUCGGAGACAGCAACCCCACUGCCAAGGGCCGCGUGGCCAUCUCUGGUGGGGCCCUGUUCCUUCUGGCAGGUCUCUGCACAUUGACUGCUGUGUCAUGGUAUGCCACCCUGGUAACCCAGGAGUUCUUCAACCCAAGCACACCUGUCAAUGCCCGGUAUGAAUUUGGCCCGGCUCUGUUCGUAGGCUGGGCCUCAGCCGGCCUGGCCAUGCUGGGGGGCUCCUUCCUUUGCUGUACCUGCCCGGAGCCUGAGAGAAACAACAGCAGCCCACAGCCCUAUCGCCCUGGACCCUCAACUGCUGCCCGAGAGUACGUCUGAGCCCCGUCCAGCCCUCCUGCACAGGAGCCCUCCAGCCAGCCCCCACAGCACCCUGGCCAGGGCCAGUAGGGCCCAGAUGUCUGCUGAGCUCAGCCUGGGGGCUCUGAGUGCCCACCCUGUGACCCGACACCCAACCCCAGACACUAAGGGAGAGAUCAGAGGUGAAGCCUGACCCACACCAACUGCAUCCCCAGGGAGGCCCAGGCCCUGCCAGGGCAGCCUGGUGGGCACCACAUACUUCCACAUGCUAUCCCUGGGCAGGCCUUACACACCAGCCCAGUGCUGGCCCCUUCACCUGCCCAUCUGUUUACUGAAAGGCCACUAUGUCCACCAUGUACUGGGUCCUGAGAACCCACAGAGACCAAGAUAGACCUUAGUGCCCAGCCUGUUGGGGUGGGCAAACCCUUCACCCUCCGGCGUUCCUGGGCUCCUCGUAGCAUCUCAUGGAAGAGGCAGUACCCAGAUAAGAAGCAGUCCCAUGUUACCAAGGACACUGAGGCUUGGAGACCAAGAGGCUCCACUGGGCUGUCUCCGAGUCCAGCUCUGCCUGGACAUCCACACAUCACGAGACCCAUUGUUAAAUUGCCGGCCUCCUCCAAGGGGCCCCUGGGUGUAUAAUGUCCAGGUUCCCAGCCAUAUCUAGACUGUGUGUACUUGAUACUUUUUGGAAAGAACAUUCAGCCCCAAGUGUGGUGUCAUCUGGUGUGUUCUUGGUGUGGCUAGCAUGUGGCCUGGCUCAGAGGGGACCCCUGGGGAAGGUUGCCAGCACACGCAAGGCAUAUCAGCAAGCACUUGGGGCUCUGUCUCCUGCCCAGUAAAACCUUCCAAAGCAAUUCUUGAGGUCUGCACUAGGAGUAGCUCCCUGUCCCUGGAGUCAGGGAGCCUGUGGUAUGGAGCGGCCCCAUAGGUAACAACCCCUGACCUUGGGAGACCUAAGGCAGUCUCUACAAGGCUUGUCACCAGGUGCAGGCCCAGUCCAGUAAGAGGACAUUCUAUAGCAGUCUGUUGGCAAAGGGACUAGAGAAUGGACAUUAGGACUGUCCUGAGCCCCCAGCUCAGCUCCCACACUCGAUCCACAGGAAAGACUGGCCUGACCACAGAGGUGGUCAAUUGGAAAGGCUUAUUAUGGUUCUCUCUCUCUCUUUCUCUCUCUCUCGUCAUGGCUUGAACUCAAGGCCUGGGCGCUGUCUCUGAGCUUCUUUUGCUCAAGGCUAGUACUCUAUC